AAUAGUCAAUGACAUCGCAGGUCAAAGGAUCACUCAUACCAAUAUAGUAUCGAGAAGACUACUGACAAGUUAGUAGAUAUCCAUGUGAUUUCUCUAUUGGGUUUUGAUAGUGCAGCGAAAGGAUUAGGUAUUUAAAAUUUUUAUUCAAAAUAUUUGAUGCAUCGAAAAUCCUAAUGUCCAAAAAUCUUUGACUAUAUCAAUCAAAGUAUAAUUGAAUUAAACUAAGAUAAGAAGAAUACCUGUAACACAAAUCUAAUUUUUAUAAGGCGUUCAAGUGUCCGCCCUCCAAUGAUGAUCCAUAUGGAAAUUAAACC
rnacentral:lncRNA from 1 species